rnacentral:lncRNA from 1 species
AAGCGAAGGGAUGGAAUUGCCAAGUGGACUCGCUUUGGAGAGUGCUCGGAGCUUCACCAGGUGCUGCUUCCUGAUUUCAGCUGACCAGCUGAAGCACCAGUUUGCCCUUAAACUACCCACGUGGUGGGGGAGGGGAGAAGUGGCCCAAACAAUGUAUGCACACGUGAAUAAAUGAAUAAAAAUAAAUAAAUAAAUAAACUACUCA